UGAGGAAUAUUGCACAAUGGGCGCAAGCCUGAUGCAGCGACGCCGCGUGUGGGAUGAAGGGGCUACGCCUCGUAAACCACUGUAGCCCGGGACGAACGACGCCUUAGAGGCGUUAGACGGUACCGGGAAAGUAAGGGUCGGCUAACUACGUGCCAGCAGCCGCGGUAAUACGUAGGACCCAAGCGUUGUCCGGAUUUACUGGGUGUAAAGGGUGCGCAGGCGGAUGGGUAAGUCAGGGGUGAAAGUCUGCAGCUUAACUGUAGAAUUGCCUGUGAUACUGCUCAUCUUGAGUGUGGGAGAGGUUGAUGGAAUUCCAGGUGUGGCAGUGAAAUGCGUAGAUAUCUGGAAGAACACCAGUGGCGAAGGCGGUCAACUGUCCCAUAACUGACGCUCAUG
rnacentral:rRNA from 1 species